rnacentral:rRNA from 1 species
AACGAACGCUGGCGGCAUGCCUAACACAUGCAAGUCGAACGGGAUCUUGACUUCGGUCAGGUGAGAGUGGCGGACGGGUGAGUAACACGUGGGAACCUGCCUUUUGGUUCGGGAUAACCGCGGGAAACUGCGGCUAAUACCGGAUACUCCCGAGAGGGGAAAGAUUUAUCGCCAGAAGAGGGGCCCGCGUCCGAUUAGGUAGUUGGUGGGGUAAUGGCCUACCAAGCCGACGAUCGGUAGCUGGUCUGAGAGGAUGAUCAGCCACACUGGGACUGAGAUACGGCCCAGACUCCUACGGGAGGCAGCAGUGGGGAAUAUUGGACAAUGGGCGAAAGCCUGAUCCAGCAAUGCCGCGUGAGUGAUGAAGGCCUUAGGGUUGUAAAGCUCUUUUACCAGGGAAGAUGAUGACUGUACCUGGAGAAUAAGCCCCGGCUAACUCCGUGCCAGCAGCCGCGGUAAU